UACGUAGGGUGCAAGCGUUGUCCGGAAUUAUUGGGCGUAAAGAGCUCGUAGGCGGUCUGUCACGUCGGCUGUGAAAUCCCGAGGCUCAACCUCGGGUCUGCAGUCGAUACGGGCAAACUAGAGUAUUGCAGGGGAGACUGGAAUUCCUGGUGUAGCGGUGAAAUGCGUAGAUAUCGGGAGGAACACCAGUGGCGAAGGCGACUACCUGGCCUGUUCUCGACGCUGAGGCGCGAAAAGCUAGGGGAGCAAA
rnacentral:rRNA from 1 species